rnacentral:miRNA from 10 species
GUUGGUGCAAAAGUAAUUGCGGUUUUUGCCCAUUGAAAUAUGCAAAAACCACAAUUACGUUUG